GAUGAAGAACGUAGCGAAAUGCGAUAAGUAAUGUGAAUUGCAGAAUUCAGUGAAUCAUCGAAUCUUUGAACGCACAUUGCGCCCGCCAGUAUUCUGGCGGGCAUGCCUGUUCGAGCGUCAUUUCAACCAUCAAGCCCUGCUUGCGUUGGGGUCCUGCGGCUGCCCGCAGGCCCUGAAAACCAGUGGCGGGCUCGCUAGUCACACCGAGCGCAGUAAUACAUCUCGCUUUGGGCGUGCGGCGGGUUCUUGCCGUUAAACACCCCCUUUUUACCAAGGUUGACCUCGGAUCAGGUAGGAAUACCCGCUGAACUUAAGCAUGUCAAUAAGCGGAGGA
rnacentral:misc_RNA from 1 species